GACGAACGCUGGCGGCGUGCUUAACACAUGCAAGUCGAACGGAAAGGCCCUGCUUUUGUGGGGUGCUCGAGUGGCGAACGGGUGAGUAACACGUGAGUAACCUGCCCUUGACUUUGGGAUAACUUCAGGAAACUGGGGCUAAUACCGGAUAGGAGCUCCUGCUGCAUGGUGGGGGUUGGAAAGUUUCGGCGGUUGGGGAUGGACUCGCGGCUUAUCAGCUUGUUGGUGGGGUAGUGGCUUACCAAGGCUUUGACGGGUAGCCGGCCUGAGAGGGGGACCGGCCACAUGGGAGCUGAGUACCGGCCCGGACUCCUACGGGGGGAAGGAGGGGGGAAUUUUGCAAAAUGGGCGGAAGCCUGAUGCAGCAACGCCGGGUGGGGGAGGGGGGCCUUGGGGUUGAAAACCGCUUUCGCCUGUGACGAAGCGGGAGUGACGGUAAUGGGUAAAGAAGCACCGGCUAACUACGU
rnacentral:rRNA from 1 species